AGCUUUCCGAAUCCAUGCUGAGAUUUCAUCAGAAACCAACUUAUUCGGGAUGGUCAGACUUCAAAGAUAAGUGAGGUU
rnacentral:pre_miRNA from 1 species